AUUGAACGCUGGCGGCAGGCUUAACACAUGCAAGUCGAGCGGGGAGAUGUAGCUUGCUACAUUACCUAGCGGCGGACGGGUGAGUAAUGCUUAGGAAUUUGCCUAUUAGUGGGGGACAACAUUCCGAAAGGAAUGCUAAUACCGCAUACGCCCUACGGGGGAAAGCAGGGGAUUUUUGGACCUUGCGCUAAUAGAUGAGCCUAAGUCAGAUUAGCUAGUUGGUGGGGUAAAGGCCUACCAAGGCGACGAUCUGUAGCGGGUUUGAGAGGAUGAUUCGCCACACUGGGACUGAGACACGGCCCCGACUCCUACGGGAGGCAGCAGUGGGGAAUAUUGGACAAUGGGCGCAAGCCUGAUCCAGCCCUGCCGCGUGUGUGAAGAAGGCCUUUUGGUUGUAAAGCACUUUAAGCGAGGAGGAGGCUACCUGGAUUAAUACUUUGGGAUAGUGGACGUUACUCGCAGAAUAAGCCCCGGCUAACUCUGUGCCCGCC
rnacentral:rRNA from 1 species